rnacentral:rRNA from 1 species
GAAUUUUCCGCAAUGGGCGAAAGCCUGACGGAGCAAUACCGCGUGAGGGAAGACUGCCUAUGGGUUGUAAACCUCUUUUUUCAGGGAGGAAUCAAUGACGUGUACCUGAAGAAUAAGCAUCGGCUAACUCCCGUGCCAGCAGCCGCGGUAAGACGGAGGAUGCAAGUGUUAUCCGGAAUCACUGGGCGUAAAGCGUCUGUAGGUGGUUUAAUAAGUCAACUGUUAAAUCUUGAGGCUCAACUUCAAAAUCGCAGUCGAAACUAUUAGACUAGAGUAUAGUAGAGGUAAAGGGAAUUUCCAGUGGAGCGGUGAAAUGCGUAGAGAUUGGAAAGAACACCGAUGGCGAAGGCACUUUACUGGGCUAUUACUAACACUCAGAGACGAAAGCUAGGGUAGCAAAUGGGAUUAGAUACCCCAGUAGUC